rnacentral:rRNA from 1 species
UUUAACGGCCGCGGUAUUCUAACCGUGCAAAGGUAGCGUAAUCACUUGUCUCCUAAAUAGAGACCAGUAUGAAUGGCUAAAUGAAGACAAGCCUGUCUCCUACAACCUAUCAGUGAAACUGAUCUCCAAGUCCAAAAGCUAGGAUAUUAACAUAAGACGAGAAGACCCUGUGGAGCUUAAAAUUUACUACUAACGAAACUAAACCACACAGCACAACUAGUACAAAUUUUGAGUUGGGGCGACUUCGGAAUAAAACAGAACUUCCAAGCACAGAACCACCACUUCUAACCAAGGCCAACAAGCCAAAGCAAAAGCUGAUCCAGUAAUACUGAUCAACGAACCAAGUUACCCCAGGGAUAACAGCGCUAUCUUCUUCAAGAGUCCCUAUCGACAAGAAGGUUUACGACCUCGAUGUUGGAUCAGGACACCCCAAUGGUGCAGCCGCUAUUAAAGGUUCGUUUGUUCAACGAUUAACAGUC